ACGCAGUCACGAAAAAUUUAUCGUAUAAUCCAAGCGUGCCACGUCAACAGUUUAAUUUGCAAGUUUCGGUAUUUUCAGUUUUUGCCGACCAGAAAGGAACAGGAGAUUUUCUCGUCAUGAAGAACUGUAGCAAGUUUUGUCUUCUGCUUCUCUUAUCAUGCUUGUCGCCGAUAAGGGCGGAAGAUGAUACAAACAAAGGUGAAUGGUGCUGGAAAGAGUAUGUCGCUGCUGGCAUAGUGGGAGGUACAGCAGCAGUAGUUGCAGCCCCAUUUGUCCUGUCUGCUGCAGGAUUUACCACUGCGGGUGUUGCUGUAGGCUCUGUUGCUGCUGGUGUCCAGUCUGCAGUGUAUGGGGGAGCUGUCGCUUCAAGCAGCAUAUUUGCAGGACUUCAAAGUGCAGGUGCAGCUGGCAUGGGAGCCAAGGCAACUCUUACUGUCUUUUCUUUGGGUGCAGCAGCGACCACCUAUGUCAAGGAUAAGGUUGCUCCGUGUGCAGAGGAAUCAAAAUGUUCUUCAGAUGUCCCCCAUGAGUAAUUUGUACAGUUGAAUGACUUUCAUAUAUUGGGAAAGUUUGUAAUUGAUUGCACAUAGCUAUAGGGUUAGGGUUAAGGUUACAUCAGUGUCAUUUCAGGAAAUUAAAUACUGAGCACAUAAGUAUGUAAUAAUAACACAUUUCUCUUUUUGGCUGGUUUUUCUGUGAUCAGAAAUGUCUUGAAACAUCAGCAGGGCCAUUCAAAACCAAAAUGUAAUUUGAGGCAUUUCAAAAAGUAUGUAAAGGUAAACACAUUCCAUACAGUUUGCCAAAGCCAAAUGAAAGAAAUUGAAGAUACAAUUCAGUUUUUUGCUCAAACAGUUCUCCAGUUUCCUAUUGGGUUAUGAAGAUGACUCCUUGAUGUGUGGAUAAAAUACUUCGCAGACCAGAUGUUUUUUAUAAAAAGGAAGCAAAUUUUCUUGAUAAGGAAGGGAAAUUGAUUUAAACAGUUUUCGAGUUAAGAUAGACAGGGUUUGGUUACAGGGCUCAAACUUAACUUUUGAAGUUAAUAGUCGAAUGGCUAGUACAAGGUCAGGAUUCACUAGCCAAAAAUGCAUUUCUACUAGGCAAGUGUACAGCACAAAACUAUCAUUUUUAUAGAUUAAACAAACACAAGAAAAUGUAAAACUGCUGUUGCUAUCAAACUGUAAUCAAUUUAUUAUACAACUGUACAUAAAAUUCAUUGUAAGUAUUCAUGCUUGUUCGUUAUUCCAAUUACCUCGACAACAAUAAAACCCAACUGU